GACGAACGCUGGCGGCGUGCCUAAUACAUGCAAGUAGAACGCACAGUUUAUACCGUAGCUUGCUACACCAUAGACUGUGAGUUGCGAACGGGUGAGUAACGCGUAGGUAACCUGCCUGGUAGCGGGGGAUAACUAUUGGAGACGAUAGCUAAUACCGCAUAAUAUUGAUUAUUGCAUGAUAAUUAAUUGAAAGGUGCAAUUGCACCACUACCAGAUGGACCUGCGUUGUAUUAGCUAGUAGGUGAGGUAACGGCUCACCUAGGCGACGAUACAUAGCCGACCUGAGAGGGUGAUCGGCCACACUGGGACUGGGACACGGCCCAGACUCCUACGGGAGGCAGCAGUAGGGAAUCUUCGGCAAUGGACGAAAGUCUGACCGAGCAACGCCGCGUGAGUGAAGAAGGUUUUCGGAUCGUAAAGCUCUGUUGUAAGAGAAGAACGGGUGUGAGAGUGGAAAGUUCACACUGUGACGGUAUCUUACCAGAAAGGGACGGCUAACUACGUG
rnacentral:rRNA from 1 species